ACUCUUUCUAGAACAUUUUCUUCAUGAAUCUUCUGCAGUAGGAAUUGCUCUAAAAACAAAUACAGCCUCUGUUAACCUGUACAAAAGAAGCUUGUCUUGAACCAGCGAAGAAUGUCUUCUAGAAUGGUACCUUUUAGAACUCUAUGAUCAGUCUCUGCAAUUUACCUAAAGAAGAGAAAACAAAGUUUCUGAGUAAGUCACCUGCCUGAGGAUCCCCUCCCCAUAGGAAUAUGUGCCAGAAUUGGGCUUCUAACCCUAUCUGACUGCCCCUAGAGCAAGCGUUUAUUGCUCUAACCAUACUCCCCACUACGAUCCCUGACAACGUAUGUACGAAAGCCAAAGAAGAAGACAGUGUUGCUUCCUGCCACCUCAAGUGGGAACAUGACAUUUGGGCAACUCAAUCUUUUCCCUUCAUUUUGCACAUGUAGGCAAAUCAUCCCACAAAACUGCAAAUAUUGAUUUAAGGUUAUAAAUAAAUGUUAGCUUUUAGACAAACUGACAUAUACAGGAUCAGUAAAUAAUGAGCGUCAAUUCUGCUUUUUAGUAUUCCUUCUUAGGUUAUGUAAAUAAAAAUAUAUGUAGGACAAAUUAAAGCAAGAUACAAUAAAGAGAAAUUUCAAAAUUAAUUAUCUUAGAAUAAUGUUACACAUACCCCCAAAUCAAAGUAUUCUCUGCAAUUACAGUAAUGACUUUGGAAUGGCCCACAGAAUUUCUCUGAGACUAACUUUGGUAAAAGCUUGCUGCUGCUGCUGCGUCGCUUCAGUCGUGUCCGACUCUGUGCGACCCCAUAGAUGGC